rnacentral:rRNA from 1 species
GCAGUCGAGCGGAACGAGAAUAGCUUGCUAUUCGGCGUCGAGCGGCGGACGGGUGANUAAUGCUUGGGAAUAUGCCUUUGAGUGGGGGACAACAGUUGGAAACGACUGCUAAUACCGCAUAACGUCUACGGACCAAAGGGGGGGACGCUUCGGCACCUCUCGCUCAUUGAUUAGCCCAAGUGAGAUUAGCUAGUUGGUAAGGUAAUGGCUUACCAAGGCGACGAUCUCUAGCUGGUUUGAGAGGAUGAUCAGCCACACUGGGACUGAGACACGGCCCAGACUCCUACGGGAGGCAGCAGUGGGGAAUAUUGCACAAUGGGCGAAAGCCUGAUGCAGCCAUGCCGCGUGUGUGAAGAAGGCCUUCGGGUUGUAAAGCACUUUCAGCGAGGAGGAAAGGUUAGUAGUUAAUAACUGCUAGCUGUGACGUUACUCGCAGAAGAAGCACCGGCUAACUUCGUGCCAGCAGCCGCGGUAAUACGAGGGGUGCAAGCGUUAAUCGGAAUUACUGGGCGUAAAGCGUGCGUAGGUGGUUUGUUAAGCAAGAUGUGAAAGCCCUGGGCUCAACCUGGGAACUGCAUUUUGAACUGGCAAGCUAGAGUUUUGUAGAGGGUAGUGGAAUUUCCAGUGUAGCGGUGAAAUGCGUAGAGAUUGGAAGGAACAUCAGUGGCGAAGGCNGCUACCUGGACAAAGACUGACACUGAGGCACGAAAGNGUGGGGAGCAAACAGGAUUAGAUACCCUGGUAGUCCACGCCGUAAACGAUGUCAACUAGCCGUCUGUAGACUUGAUCUGUGGGUGGCG